rnacentral:lncRNA from 1 species
GUCCUUCAGAGAGCCUGGUCUCUUAUGACUUUCUGUCUGGACGAUCUAUCCAUUGAUUGUAUAUCCGUAGUUGCACUGCAAGUUAGUGGGAAGAAGUCUCUCCCUCAUCGUAUGACCUCAUUGGAGUCGAUGAAUCUCUGA